GCAGUGGUGGUUCACUGGUGGAAUUCUCGCCUUCCAUGCAGGAGACCUGGGUUUGAUUCCCGGUCAGUACA
rnacentral:tRNA from 1 species